rnacentral:rRNA from 1 species
CGGGCGGCGUGCUUACCAUGCAAGUCGAACGAUGAUCCCAGCUUGCUGGGGGAUUAGUGGCGAACGGGUGAGUAACACGUGAGUAACCUGCCCUUAACUCUGGGAUAAGCCUGGGAAACUGGGUCUAAUACCGGAUAUGACUCCUCAUCGCAUGGUGGGGGGUGGAAAGCUUUAUUGUGGUUUUGGAUGGACUCGCGGCCUAUCAGCUUGUUGGUGAGGUAAUGGCUCACCAAGGCGACGACGGGUAGCCGGCCUGAGAGGGUGACCGGCCACACUGGGACUGAGACACGGCCCAGACUCCUACGGGAGGCAGCAGUGGGGAAUAUUGCACAAUGGGCGCAAGCCUGAUGCAGCGACGCCGCGUGAGGGAUGACGGCCUUCGGGUUGUAAACCUCUUUCAGUAGGGAAGAAGCGAAAGUGACGGUACCUGCAGAAGAAGCGCCGGCUAACUACGUGCCAGCAGCCGCGGUAAUACGUAGGGCGCAAGCGUUAUCCGGAAUUAUUGGGCGUAAAGAGCUCGUAGGCGGUUUGUCGCGUCUGCCGUGAAAGUCCGGGGCUCAACUCCGGAUCUGCGGUGGGUACGGGCAGACUAGAGUGAUGUAGGGGAGACUGGAAUUCCUGGUGUAGCGGUGAAAUGCGCAGAUAUCAGGAGGAACACCGAUGGCGAAGGCAGGUCUCUGGGCAUUAACUGACGCUGAGGAGCGAAAGCAUGGGGAGCGAACAGGAUUAGAUACCCUGGUAGUCCAUGCCGUAAACGUUGGGCACUAGGUGUGGGGGACAUUCCACGUUUUCCGCGCCGUAGCUAACGCAUUAAGUGCCCCGCCCUGGGGAGU